UACGAAGGGGGCUAGCGUUGCUCGGAAUUACUGGGCGUAAAGGGCGCGUAGGCGGCGCUGCAAGUCAGGCGUGAAAUUCCUGGGCUUAACCUGGGGGCUGCGCUUGAGACUGUGGUGCUAGAGGAUGGAAGAGGCUCGUGGAAUUCCCAGUGUAGAGGUGAAAUUCGUAGAUAUUGGGAAGAACACCGGUGGCGAAGGCGGCGAGCUGGUCCAUUACUGACGCUGAGGCGCGACAGCGUGGGGGAGCAAACAGG
rnacentral:rRNA from 1 species